rnacentral:misc_RNA from 1 species
CAAGCCUGAUACACAGGAGUUCUGCUGAGUUAGCUCCAACAGCGACGACAAGUCCGAUCUUUCAAUGGGCCUGUUGUGGAUGAUACCUUGAAUUAUACAUGGCUGAGGGUUUGAUUUGAUCCGACAUAAUUAAUGGAAUUAGGGAAUACUUAAGGGCAUCAUGUUGUGUUAUUUUUAUUGCCAUUAAAUUAUGUUGUGAAAGUUGGUGUGAUACAAAUGUUUUUGUAUAGAG